GAAGAUGUGAAGAUUGAAGAAACAUUCACAGUCAAACAGGAAGAUCUGCAGGAACAAACAGACCUAAUUGAAGAGAAUGAGGGCAGUAAAGAGGAGAAACAUUAUGUCAAAAUUGAGG